UACGUAGGGGGCAAGCGUUAUCCGGAUUUACUGGGUGUAAAGGGAGCGUAGACGGCCAUGCAAGUCUGAUGUGAAAACCCGGGGCUCAACCCCGGGACUGCAUUGGAAACUGUAUUUCUAGAGUGUCGGAGAGGCAAGUGGAACUCCAUGUGUAGCGGUGGAAUGCGUAGAUAUAUGGAAGAACACCAGUGGCGAAGGCGGCUCUCUGGUCUGCAACUGACGCGGAGGCUCGAAAGCAUGGGUAGCGAACAGG
rnacentral:rRNA from 1 species